UUCUGUUGCUGGCGUGGCAAUAAUCUGUGGACAAAAGGCCUAAUACGAAUACUACCACUUUUUUCUAAAGCUGUGCUCCUAAAGGCAAUUUGAGGACACUUCCUACUUAGAUCAAGGACAUUAUUCAGUUUGACAAGAUUGGUCAAGCCACAGUUCGUGCCUACCCAGCCUGUGACCGAGAAUUUCUAUCCCUGAUGCAUGGUCCGUUUGGAGUCUCCAAGCCCAGCAGAUUCCUACCACGUACUCCUGCACCAUUC
rnacentral:lncRNA from 1 species